rnacentral:rRNA from 1 species
CAGCCGCCGCGGUAAGACAGAGGAUGCAAGCGUUAUCCGGAAUGAUUGGGCGUAAAGCGUCUGUAGGUGGCUUUUCAAGUCCGCCGUCAAAUCCCAGGGCUCAACCCUGGACAGGCGGUGGAAACUACCAAGCUGGAGUACGGUAGGGGCAGAGGGAAUUUCCGGUGGAGCGGUGAAAUGCGUUGAGGUCGGAAAGAACACCAACGGCGAAAGCACCCUGCUGGGCCGACACUGACACUGAGAGACGAAAGCUAGGGGAGCAAAUGGGAUUAGAUACCCGCGUAGUCCCUGUCUCUUAUAC